rnacentral:lncRNA from 1 species
CCCACCCGGUCCCGGUGCUGCCUCCCCGUGCACCUCGAGGCUGGGUCAGAGCACGCCGUGGUGCUGGGAACCGGGCUCGGGGUUGGGAGCACAGCCCAAGGAGGCUGGGGGCACACGAGGACACGGGGCGGGGGGUGGAGAGGGGAACCCGCGGGUGCCACCCGUCAGCACAAGUGGAAUAAGGGAGUCGGGUCAAAACGGUCCCCGAGCAUGAGAGGAGAAAAGUGCAGCUGUGGAAAAGGGAAAUGAGCUGUGAGGUGCACGGACCCAUUCACAGCGGCUCGCCCGAGGAAACGGCUCCGUGAUGGGGAUGGGCCCCAGGGCACAGGGACACCCAAGGCAUGGGGAUGCAGCCCCAUUGCCCCCGAUCCCUCUCUUGGCAAACCUGCCAAGGGAAAUCCCAAGCGUGGGUCAAGCUGCGGUCCACUCCGUAACAUGAGAGCUUUUGCUCUCUGAAGUCCCUGAUUUAAUGAGGGGUCAGACUGCAAAUCCGGCACUCCCACGAGGGAGCGAGUUUUGCGCAAAGUGCCCAGAAAGCAGCAAAGCUGCUCCUACAAAACCACGUCCCACUGGGGCAGGGAGCGAGCUGGCCCCAUGCAAGUCUGCUGACGCUGGCGGGGUACGAACCGCUCCUCUCUUGAUUGUUUGCUCGAUUUUGGUUUUUUUUUUAGGGUAUGCUGAAGUGGGAGAAGAAGAGGAAAUGACACGGUUUUUAUAUGAAUACGCAUCUCACUUCGGUGAUUACUUGUACGCAACCAUCGACUACUACCCUGAGAACUCCACGAUACUUCCCACCAUAUACCUGUACGAGGUGAGUACCCGAAGCGUUUCUCUUCGGAUUCCUAAAAAAAUCGGCUCCUCCCGCACGCCUCACCAGCCAAAUUUAACACCCGCUGCCCCAACGAGGGUUGGUCGUGCUCCUGACCACCCGCUCGAGCACCAUCCGGCUUUGGGGAAGGGAUGCGCAAAACAGGGGGGUUUCUCCCCAAAUUUUAACUCCGUGACCUGGAGCUUUUUGGCUCUCCCAGCUCCCGCAGGGAGGCUCCGGGGCACUUCGGUUUCUGCCCCGCAGCCCACGCACAGGGAUGGGGAGGGCAGAGGGGAUCGGCGGAGCGCGUCGGACCCGGCUGCUGCCAACUGAUUUCUCUUCCUCGGCUUCCCAGGAGAUGUCAGAUUCUGCAGGAUCGUCCCUCCACUGCCACCUGCCCCUCGUUGUCCUUCUCAGCCUCCUGGGUCUCCUGCUGUGACUCCCCAGGCUUGGCAGGUACAAGAGCCACGCAGCACCGGGGCUCGGAGCAUUUCGCCACCGCCGACAUCCCCAAGGCAGCAGCACCCGGCAGCGCCUCCCCGAAACAAGGAAACCUUUUGGGCAGCCAGCCCCGUGCCGGGGACA